UUUGCUUCUGAAACGAGGAGGUUUUCUUCUAGGCCAAAAUUUAAAUGAAAACGUAACAUCUUGCAAUGUUUUUCAGUGUCCUUUGACCACAUGCAGAAGGAAGAUUGCAAUAUUCCACCUGGUAAAUCAACACAAUUGUGGAUUUUGAUUCUUCCACUGAAUGGCAGUGAUAUCUCUCCGCAGUAAUAGUGCGAGCCAGAGCCAAGCCAGCGGGCAGCAGGCAGGCAUAGAUGAAAAAUGGAGAAGCUAAAAUGCAGAGGAUCAACAUUGUGACCCUUUAUCCAUCCAUCAAGCCAGUCUGCAGAGGCCAAAAUAUAACCAAAGUUUCCUGAAUCCCAGACCAGCACUCUGGGUAACUCUGAGGUGGUCUUUUUCCUGAGGCUGUUUUGCAGUGAUACUUGCUUUCUCCUCUACCUUCGCUGGGAUGCUCUGAAAUUCUCUGGGGAACAGCUAUAGCCAAGCAAUUUGUGUUUGCCAGUAACACAACUGCUGGAUAUGGAGGAGGAGAGUCUGCAUCAGGACCAGCAAGUCAGAAAGAGCCAUGCACCCAACUGCAAAGACAGCUCAGGCAAGGGCAUGCAGGUUGGGGGGUUUUGACAGCUUGGAGGGAGCCACAUUGCCUAAAUCGCAGCUCCUGACAAGUGGAAGUGCCACAUUCAGCAACAACAAAACGACACAGGCCUUCAGAGAGAGGGACUUCAAGUGCUGUCGUUACCUGCUGCAGAGCAGGUUCCAGGUUCCUCUGGAAACACUGAGGACGUUUCUCACGGAGGUGGUGUGGCCUGCUUUGAUUUUUAUGCAGCACCAGCAAAAGGUUGGCUAUAAUCUGGCAGUGAAACAUUGCUCGGGGCUGCCACUCCAGCAAGGGAUGUGA
rnacentral:lncRNA from 1 species